rnacentral:rRNA from 1 species
CACGGAGGGGGUUAGCGUUGUUCGGAAUGACUGGGCGUAAAGCGCGCGUAGGCGGAUCAUCAAGUCGGGGGUGAAAUCCCGGGGCUCAACCCCGGAAUGGCCUUCGAGACUGGUGGUCUUGAGUUCGAGAGAGGUGAGUGGAAUUCCGAGUGUAGAGGUGAAAUUCGUAGAUAUUCGGAGGAACACCAGUGGCGAAGGCGGCUCACUGGCUCGACACUGACGCUGAGGUGCGAAAGCGUGGGGAGCAAACAGG